rnacentral:rRNA from 1 species
UACGUAGGGUGCGAGCGUUGCCCGGAUUUAUUGGGCGUAAAGGGCGCGUAGGCGGCCACGCACGUCCGUUGUGAAAUCGCUCGGCUCAACUGGGCGGGGUCAGCGGAUACGGUGUGGCUAGAGCAAGCUAGGGGGCAAUGGAAUUCCCGGUGUAGUGGUGGAAUGCGUAGAUAUCGGGAAGAACACCCGUGGCGAAGGCGGUUCUCUGG